rnacentral:rRNA from 1 species
AUUGAACGCUGGCGGCAGGCCUAACACAUGCAAGUCGAGCGAGCGGCGGACGGGGGAGUAAUGGAUGGGGACUGGCCGAUAGAGGGGGAUAACUACUGGAAACGGUGGCUAAUACCGCAUAAUAGCGGAUAACCCAUUGGGGAUGAGCGAGUAGGUGGGGUAAAGGCUCACCGAGGCGACGAUCCCUAGCUGGUCUGAGAGGAUGAUCAGCCACACUGGGAAUGAGACACGGCCCAGACUCCUACGGAGGCAGCAGUAGGGAAUCUUGGGCAAUGGACGCAAGCCUGAUCGAGCAACGCCGCGUGUAUGAAGAAGGUUUUAGGAUUGUAAAGCUCUUUUGUUGGGGAAGCGUUACCUAACGAGAAAGCCCCGGCUAACUCCGUGCCAGCAGCCGCGGUAAUAC